UUAAGACCUAUUAUAAUGAAGCAGUUAUAUUAAGAAGUUUGCUCAACUUUUGAAGUCUUACAUGAUCUGAGUUCAGACCGGCGUAAGCCAGGUUGGUUUCUAUCUAAAUAAGAAUGAGAAAUUUUUAGUACGAAAGGAAUUAAAUUUAUAAAUUAUUUAGUUAAUUAUUUUAAAUAUAAGGUUAAUUU
rnacentral:rRNA from 1 species